GACGAACGCUGGCGGCGUGCUUAACACAUGCAAGUCGAACGGAAAGGCCCUGCUUUUGUGGGGUGCUCGAGUGGCGAACGGGUGAGUAACACGUGAGUAACCUGCCCUUGACUUUGGGAUAACUUCAGGAAACUGGGGCUAAUACCGGAUAGGAGCUCCUGCUGCAUGGUGGGGGUUGGAAAGUUUCGGCGGUUGGGGAUGGACUCGCGGCUUAUCAGCUUGUUGGUGGGGUAGUGGCUUACCAAGGCUUUGACGGGUAGCCGGCCUGAGAGGGUGACCGGCCCCAUUGGGACUGAGAUACGGCCCAGACUCCUACGGGAGGCAGCAGUGGGGAGUAUUGCACAAUGGGCGGAAGCCUGAUGCAGCAACGCCGCGUGCGGGAUGACGGCCUUCGGGUUGUAAACCGCUUUCGCCUGUGACGAAGCGUGAGUGACGGUAAUGGGUAAAGAAGCACCGGCUAACUACGUG
rnacentral:rRNA from 1 species